rnacentral:rRNA from 1 species
CCUACGGGAGGCAGCAGUCGAGAAUCAUUCACAAUGGGGGAAACCCUGAUGGUGCGACGCCGCGUGGGGGAAUGAAGGUCUUCGGAUUGUAAACCCCUGUCAUGUGGGAGCAAAUUAAAAAGAUAGUACCACAAGAGGAAGAGACGGCUAACUCUGUGCCAGCAGCCGCGGUAAUACAGAGGUCUCAAGCGUUGUUCGGAAUCACUGGGCGUAAAGGGUGCGUAGGCUGUUUCGUAAGUCGUGUGUGAAAGGCGCGGGCUCAACCCGCGGACGGCACAUGAUACUGCGUGACUAGAGUAAUGGAGGGGGAACCGGAAUUCGCGGUGUAGCAGUGAAAUGCGUAGAUAUCGAGAGGAACACUCGUGGCGAAGGCGGGUUCCUGGACAUUAACUGACGCUGAGGCACGAAGGCCAGGGGAGCGAAAGGGAUUAGAUACCCCAGUAGUC